rnacentral:rRNA from 1 species
GACGAACGCUGGCGGCGUGCUUAACACAUGCAAGUCGAACGGAAAGGCCCUGCUUUUGUGGGGUGCUCGAGUGGCGAACGGGUGAGUAACACGUGAGUAACCUGCCCUUGACUUUGGGAUAACUUCAGGAAACUGGGGCUAAUACCGGAUAGGAGCUCCUGCUGCAUGGUGGGGGUUGGAAAGUUUCGGCGGUUGGGGAUGGAUUCGCGGCUUAUCAGCUUGUUGGUGGGGUAGGUGCUUACCAAGGCUUUGACGGGUAGCCGGCCUGAGAGGGUGACCGGCCACAUGGGGACUGAGAUACGGCCCAGAAUCGUACGGGAGGCAGUAGUGGGGAAUAUUGCACAAUGGGCGGAAGCCUGAUGCAGCAACGCCGCGUGCGGGAUGACGGCCUUCGGGUUGUAAACCGCUUUCGCCGGUGACGAAGCGUGAGUGACGGUAAUGGGUAAAGAAGCACCGGCUAACUACGUG